rnacentral:lncRNA from 1 species
AGAGCAGAGGAUUUCUGUGCUUGGAAACAGGCUGUUCUAAAACUGAUACUGAACUUAUUCUUGUGCAAAAGGUGCAAUAAGGACACCUUUCUUCGCUGAAGGAAGCUGAAGUGAGUGUUGAUGGAAAUACUGCUGAUAAAAAUGUGUAUUGAAAAUAGACAAGCGGAUGUUAAGUACAAAAAAGAAGAUACUUGGAUUUGAUGGCUGAGCAUGAAUGGCUGCAUACAGAUACAAAAGACAAGACAGAUAAGAGAAAACAAGAAGAAAAAACACUGUGAAAAAAUAACAACUUACAGUACACAAAGCAUCCUCUGCUUUCUUGAAGACAAUGUACCAUAUCAUGGUGGGGAUGAAAAAAAAAAAAAAGCAGAUUUCUUUGGACAGCAAUCAUCCAUCAGCUUCUGAGAAAGAACAGUCCAACUAGACAAGAGAACAAAGAAAAGUGGUCCCUGGGAUAAGUGUGGACUCUAAGGGAUUGCUUUGCCUCAUCCUUCACAGCCCUCUCUGUGCACUUCAACAAGAUCUUCAAAAUAAGUCAGAACUAGGUUGGACUUAUUUUAAUGUUUCCCUGUCAGAAGCGAUUCCAGGAGUCCAAACUUUGAGCCUAAGCUUGCAGUCUUAGAAAGGGAAGAAGACUUCAUGGAUGUUGAAUCUUCAGCAGACAGACUAUCAUGACACCUCCUGGGCCAUCAUUGAUCGGGGUUGGGCUGCAUCUUUUGGACACAAAUGUUCCCUGCAGACUGCUGUGGAUCGUGGUCUGCCAACCUCAGGCCUUCUCUGAAUGUGGCACUCCAAUAGCUCAGCGAAUUCCCCUCCCACAAGGUGGGGACUAGCAACAUAUGACUGGCAACAUGAUGACAGUGGCAAAGGGAAAGCAACGCUAAUAUUAGCUCUUCUACAGCAUUUAGUAUGAAACAAUAUUUGUAUCUUGCCAUGAGAAAAAGAAAAAACUCAGGGAACACUAAACUCAGAAAUAUGGUGUGAGAAAAAUGCUUACCCAGAGCGCUUCAGAUCCAGAGCCAUUCAGUACAAAACAUGGAACAGACUUAGCCAAGUAUUCCCAUAAGAGCAUGACCCUGGUUUUACAGCUGCAAACUGAUUUUCAGCCUUCUGUUUAAACAUAUUCCCACAUCGGCCAUAGAGCACUAGCAGCGAUGACAAAAGUCGUGGGAUUCAUCAAAUACUGAGUAACAUCUUGAGCACCUAUAAAACGAUAUUAUUUGAGCUACUUACUCAAGCCCUGUUUGCUUUUACCCAGUUCUCUGAAAGUCUUAGUGAGCAAGAACAACUUUUGUAAAUGUUUCCAAAUAUGUAAAUGCAUAAAUCUUAUUUAUUCCUUUGCACUUCGUUGCAUUCGGGGAUACUAUUUUAUGUUUGAGUUUUGAAUGCAUAACAAUUGACUCCUACUAAAUGGUGACGACAUUUCCUCUCAGAGGAAGUCCUGAGGGAAGGAAGGUCCCGCAUAAACAAACUUCCACUCAGUACAAUAGAGUGGCCCAUAAAUGUGAGCAUUUUUUCAGGGUAUGGGUGAGGCUGACACUCUCUUCCUGCUCAUGCAGACCAGGGCUUAUCGCAGUCCCGUUUCCCUGUAAUUUAAAUGUUUGCAUAGCUUCUAGUUCAUUUGUAUUUUUCCCCACAAAGUGCAGAUGUAUCCCAUUUUCCUGUUGCUGUGGAGCAUGGCAACAAUUUCCAACAGUGUUACAUAAAUGACCAUCUGUGGUUUAAAAAAAAAAAAAAAAAUGCUGAUGCACAAGAUUGCAGUGUGAGAAUUUUAGCCAGCUAGCAAAAAUUAUGCUAUUAAUACUUUUGACACCUCCUGACAAUAAAGGAAAAAUGUCAUGUUCCCUUCAUUUCAACAUAAUGUAAAUAUAUGAUAGAUGGCCACCAUUGGUGUGUGCAGGAUGAGACCUCCAUAGAAAAAUUGAAUGAAACCGAGCUGCUUAUGCCUAGUUUUCCUUAAGCUUUCCAUGAAGAGUAAAGGCAGACUAAAUUAAGGAAAGUUAUUUUACUGAUCAUGAGAGCAUACAAAUAAACAGGAAUAGCAAUACUUCAUUGACAUAUUUCUAGCAUCUUUGCAUUUGCUGACUCCCAGAAUCAGCAAUACUGGAAACACUGAAGUCCAUUGCACAGAUCUCUGCAAACUGGCAUGACAGUUGUUCUAGUAAACAAUGGCAGAAGUAGAUUGCUGCUGCUAAUGUGGAUGAAGAUUAGAGGAACUGAAAAUCUUCCCAAGUGACUUUCACAAACAUUUAGUACUGCUCCAAAGUACUAGAGGGGCACCAAGGCUGUUUUUUGUCUGACCACCCUGACACUUGCUGUCUCAUCCUAUUCAAAAUACUACUAUAGCAGUAUUUCCUUUUCCCUACUUCUGACUCCUCAUGCUGUAGUCACUCAUCUCUCUUUCCUUUUCCCAGGAGUCACCUUGUCCUGGCAGAUAGUCCUGGCUACUUACUGGCCCCAUAUUUGUUUUUAUUUCCUCUCAUCCUCCUGACUUCUCUAAGUUAUCCCACUUCAUUUCAUAUCACUGCCGAAAACUUUUCAGUAGACCUUUAUGUGCUGUAGCUAAAAGGACUUGGACGUUACAUUUUGAAUGAGCGCUUUCCUGUUCUGAAGCCCAAGAGACACAGCAAUACAAAUGAAACCUUUCCACAUUGCCUGAUAAAGAGUAAAACAUUAUGUGUUUUACAAGGUAUUUUUCUUCCUUUUUUAGCAAAUAUUGAAUUAUUGUGUUUGAAAACUGCUGGGGGAAAAAAAAAUGUGCAGGCAGACAUACAUCGUGUAAUUUUAUUCCAAAUGGGUAAAGCCUAUGAAGCCUAUACAGCAGGAUCAGAUAGGUAUGAGCAAUUGUAAUAAUUUGUGCUAAUAGGCACAAACAGUCACAUAUAUACACACGGCUUCUCAUACUAAUGCCUGAAGCACACUCACAAAAUUUAUGUAUUCAUGCACCAACAAGUAAAUGUAUGUACAAAACAAAACUAUGAAUAUUGUGUGUAUCUGCAAGUGCUGUGACUUCGGCUUUCUCAAAUGUGCAUUUUGCACGUGUACUUAGCUUUCUGCUCUGACAAAAUACUUUGAAAGUAUAUGUGCUCAUUCAAAAUGUAAUUUUCAGGUCCUUUUAGCUGCAGCACAUGAAGAUCUACUGAAGAGUUUUCAGCAGUGAUAGAAAAUUAUUCCCUUGUUUCUUUCUACAGAUGAUUUCUGUGAACUGCAGUAUGUCAUUUUGUUCAUUCAUAAACAAAAGCAAUGGGCACAUGUGGAAAUUAAGAACAGCCUAUAAUAACAGCAAACACUACAAGAAGGAGGGAAAGUUUUUUUCUUUAUCUGUGAGAUUAAAGCCUUAUUUAGUU